UACGUAGGGUGCGAGCGUUUGUCCGGAAUUAUUGGGCGUAAAGGGCUCGUAGGCGGUUUGUCGCGUCGGGAGUGAAAACACCGGGCUUAACUCGGUGCUUGCUUUCGAUACGGGCAGACUAGAGGCAUGCAGGGGAGAACGGAAUUCCUGGAUGUAGCGGUGGAAAUGACGCAGAUAUCAGGAAGAACACCAAUGGCGAAGGCAGCUCUCUGGGACGGUACUGACGCUGAGACGCGAAAGCGUGGGGGAGCGAACAGG
rnacentral:rRNA from 1 species